GUGGACGGGAUAAGUGCUGAAAGCAUCUAAGCAUGAAGCCCCCCUCAAGAUGAGAUUUCCCAACUUCGGUUAUAAGAUCCCUCAAAGAUGAUGAGGUUAAUAGGUUCGAGGUGGAAGCAUGGUGACAUGUGGAGCUGACGAAUACUAAUCGAUCGAAGACUUAAUCAA
rnacentral:rRNA from 2 species